UACAGAGGUCUCGAGCGUUAGGCGGAAUCACUGGGCUUAAAGCGUGUGUAGGCGGAUCGGUAAGUACCUUGUGAAAUCCCACAGCUUAACUGUGGAACUGCUUGGUAUACUGCCAGUCUUGAGCCAGCUAGGGGCUACCGGAACAAAUGGUGGAGCGGUGAAAUGCGUAGAUAUCAAUUUGGAACGCCAAUGGUGAAAACAGGUAGCUGGGGCUGUGCUGACGCUGAGACACGAAAGCCAGGGGAGCGAACGGG
rnacentral:rRNA from 1 species